rnacentral:lncRNA from 1 species
GAGGGAUUGGACCCAGGUCUCUUACAUUGCAGACAGAUUAUUUAUUUUUUUUUUUAACCAUCUGAGCCUCCAGGGAAUCCCCUUCAGCUGCAAGAAUUUCCCCCCACCCCUUCCUCCUCUCCACCUUCUUCAUGGCACCAGUUUCCACACACUUCAAAGCAUGAAGUCAGGAAACCAUGGAAAAUCACAGGAGACCAGGUGAUCAUAGCAAAGUCUGCUUGAUGGCUGAAAGCACUGGCGUGAGCUUCUCUGACUUCAAAGCUGAAGACACGGCACAAACUGGCUGGUCAUAUUCUUCGUUUUACAAACCAUGGUGGUUGGUAUAGAGGACUAGAGCUGCGAGGACUUCGUAUUUCCCCAACCGGAUGACUUCUUCCCAGUCACAUCAGCAGCUAAAUUUACCGAAGGACGAGAUGGUUGGAUGGCAUCACCGACUCAAUGGCUGGCUCUGGAAGAUGGCGAAGUACUGGGAAGCCUGGCGUGCUGUGUCCAUGGGGUCGCAAGGAGUCGGACAAGACUGAGCGACUGAACAACAAUUUACACGGUUAACCCCUAACGCUGAACCGGCCCUUAAAGACCUUGUCUCUGACUUGUUAGUUACUACGACCUGUGGAGGAUGGGGAAGGAUCCCUGUUUUUCAAAGAAAACCAAGAGUCCUUCAUGACACCUCACUCUGACCUUCUCACCUGGCCCCCAGCUGCGUCCCCUGCCCAUCCCCCACCCUAGACCCCCCCCCCCCAACCCGCCCAGAACCCCCACCCCAAGCCUCCACUCCUGGAAUACUCAUCAACUUGGCAGAGGACCCGCAGGGAUAGCCCCAGGUUUUAGGUUGUGAAC